UACGUAGGGUGCAAGCGUUAAUCGGAAUUACUGGGCGUAAAGCGUGCGCAGGCGGUUUUGUAAGUCAGAUGUGAAAUCCCCGGGCUUAACCUGGGAACUGCAUCUGUGACUGCAUAGCUAGAGUACGGUAGAGGGGGAUGGAAUUCCGCGUGUAGCAGUGAAAUGCGUAGAUAUUGGGAGGAACACCAGUGGCGAAGGCGGCUCACUGGACCGGAACUGACGCUGAGGCGCGAAAGCGUGGGGAGCAAACAGG
rnacentral:rRNA from 1 species